rnacentral:rRNA from 1 species
UACGAAGGGUGCAAGCGUUACUCGGAAUUACUGGGCGUAAAGCGUGCGUAGGUGGUUUGUUAAGUCUGAUGUGAAAGCCCUGGGCUCAACCUGGGAAUUGCAUUGGAUACUGGCGGGCUAGAGUGCGGUAGAGGAUGGCGGAAUUCCCGGUGUAGCAGUGAAAUGCGUAGAGAUCGGGAGGAACAUCUGUGGCGAAGGCGGCCAUCUGGACCAGCACUGACACUGAGGCACGAAAGCGUGGGGAGCAAACGGG